rnacentral:rRNA from 1 species
UACGGAGGGUGCAAGCGUUGUCCGGAUUUAUUGGGUUUAAAGGGUGCGUAGGCGGCCCGUUAAGUCCGUGGUGAAAGCCUCCAGCUCAACUGGAGAACUGCCAUGGAUACUGGCGGGCUUGAGUACAGACGAGGUAGGCGGAAUUGAUUGUGUAGCGGUGAAAUGCAUAGAUACAAUCAAGAACUCCGAUUGCGUAGGCAGCUUACUAGGCUGUAACUGACGCUGAGGCACGAAAGCGUGGGGAGCGAACAGG